UACGUAGGGGGCUAGCGUUGUCCGGAUUUAUUGGGCGUAAAGAGCGUGUAGGCGGCCUGGUAGGUCUGCUGUGAAAACUCGAGGCUCAACCUCGAGACGUCGGCGGAAACCAUCUGGCUAGAGUCCGGAAGAGGAGAGUGGAAUUCCUGGUGUAGCGGUGAAAUGCGCAGAUAUCAGGAAGAACACCCGUGGCGAAGGCGGCUCUCUGGGACGGUACUGACGCUGAGACGCGAAAGCGUGGGGAGCAAACGGG
rnacentral:rRNA from 1 species